rnacentral:rRNA from 1 species
GCCUGAAGAUGAGCUCGCGUCUGAUUAGCUAGUUGGUGGGGUAAAAGCCUACCAAGGCGUCGAUCAGUAGCUGGUUUGAGAGGACGACCAGCCACACUGGGACUGAGACACGGCCCAGACUCCUACGGGAGGCAGCAGUGGGGAAUUUUCCGCAAUGGGCGAAAGCCUGACGGAGCAAUACCGCGUGAGGGAGGAAGGCUCUUGGGUUGUAAACCUCUUUUGCUUGGGAAGAAUACUGACCGGACCCAACGAAUAAACAUCGGGUAACUCCCUGCCCGCCGCCGCGGUAAUACCGAGGAUGCAAGCGUUAUCCCGAAUUAUUGGGCGUAAAGCGUCCCCAGGGGGCACUUCAAGUUUGCUGUCAAAAACCGGAGCUUAACUCCGGAAAGGCAGUGGAAACUGGAGAGCUUGAGUAUGGGAGGGGUAGAGGGAAUUCCCAGUGUAGCGGUGAAAUGCGUAAAGAUUGGGAAAAACAUCGGUGGGGAAAGCGCUCUACUGGGCCAUAACUGACACUCAGGGACCAAAG